AAACUUUCAACAACGGAUCUCUUGGUUCCGGCAUCGAUGAAGAACGCAGCGAAAUGCGAUAAGUAAUGUGAAUUGCAGAAUUCCGUGAAUCAUCGAAUCUUUGAACGCACAUUGCGCCCCCUGGUAUUCCGGGGGGCAUGCCUGUUCGAGC
rnacentral:rRNA from 1 species